rnacentral:tRNA from 1 species
GGGGAUAUAGCUUAUUUAAUAUAGCGCUUGCCUAGCACGCAGGAGGCCUCAGGUUCAAUUCCUACUACCA